UACGUAGGGGGCAAGCGUUGUCCGGAAUCAUUGGGCGUAAAGAGCGUGUAGGCGGCUCGGUAAGUCCGCUCUGAAAGCCCGGGGCUCAACCCCGGGAGGCGGGCGGAUACUGUCGGGCUAGAGUCCGGAAGAGGCGAGUGGAAUUCCUGGUGUAGCGGUGAAAUGCGCAGAUAUCAGGAGGAACACCAAUGGCGAAGGCAGCUCGCUGGGACGGUACUGACGCUGAGACGCGAAAGCGUGGGGAGCAAACAGG
rnacentral:rRNA from 1 species